rnacentral:rRNA from 1 species
CAGCCGCCGCGGUAAUACAGAGGGUGCGAGCGUUAAUCGGAUUUACUGGGCGUAAAGCGUGCGUAGGCGGCUUUUUAAGUCGGAUGUGAAAUCCCUGAGCUUAACUUAGGAAUUGCAUUCGAUACUGGGAAGCUAGAGUAUGGGAGAGGAUGGUAGAAUUCCAGGUGUAGCGGUGAAAUGCGUAGAGAUCUGGAGGAAUACCGAUGGCGAAGGCAGCCAUCUGGCCUAAUACUGACGCUGAGGUACGAAAGCAUGGGGAGCAAACAGGAUUAGAUACCCCGGUAGUCCUGCUCUUAUACAC